ensembl:miRNA
CGCUCGCGGCUCCGGAGGAUUCCAGCGACUCGGGAGGGGCGGGAGGGGGGUCCCCGGUGCUCGGAUCUCGAGGGUGCUUAUUGUUCGGUCCGAGCCUGGGUCUCCCUCUU